UACGUAGGGGGCAAGCGUUGUCCGGAUUUAUUGGGCGUAAAGAGCGUGUAGGCGGCCUGACAGGUCUGCUGUGAAAACUCGAGGCUCAACCUCGAGAUGUCGGCGGAAACCGUCUGGCUAGAGUCCGGAAGAGGAGAGUGGAAUUCCUGGUGUAGCGGUGAAAUGCGCAGAUAUCAGGAAGAACACCUAUGGCGAAGGCAGCGCUCUGGGACGGUACUGACGCUGAGACGCGAAAGCGUGGGGAGCGAACAGG
rnacentral:rRNA from 1 species